rnacentral:rRNA from 1 species
GAUGAACGCUGGCGGCGUGCUUAACACAUGCAAGUCGAACGAUGAAGCCCAGCUUGCUGGGUGGAUUAGUGGAGAACGGGUGAGUAACACGUGAGUAACCUGCCCUUAACUCUGGGAUAAGCCUGGGAAACUGGGUCUAAUACCGGAAAGGAGCGCCUACCGCAUGGUGGGUGUUGGAAAGAUUUAUCGGUUUUGGAUGGACUCGCGGCCUAUCAGCUUGUUGGCGAGGUAAUGGCUCACCAAGGCGACGACGGGUAGCCGGCCUGAGAGGGUGACCGGCCACACUGGGACUGAGACACGGCCCAGACUCCUACGGGAGGCAGCGGUGGGGAAUAUUGCACAAUGGGCGAAAGCCUGAUGCAGCGACGCCGCGUGAGGGAUGACGGCCUUCGGGUUGUAAACCUCUUUCAGUAGGGAAGAAGCGAAAGUGACGGUACCUGCAGAAGAAGCACCGGCUAACUACGUG